GGAAUGUAUGGCAAUAGCUGGUUGCAUUAACAAAAAGUUAGUGUAAGAUCGACUCUGUCGAAUAAAAUUCUAGAUAGAAUUAUGAUAAUGACAUUAUCUAUCUAUGUGUCUUGACCAAAUUACGUGCCAGCAGUCGCGGUAAUACGUAAAAGACUAGUGUUAUUCAUCUUUAAUAGGUUUAAAGGGUACUUAGACGGUAAAUCAAGCCCUAAUAGGGAACUAAUAUACUAGAGUUUGAUGUAAGGAAGCAUGAAAGUACUGUUGGUGUAGAGAUAAAAUUCUAUCAUACCAAAUAUGGCACAGGUUUAGGCGAAAGCAUCCUCUUAUGUAAUAACUGACGUUGAAGGACGAAGGCUUUGUGUCUCGAACAGGAUUAGAUACCCCAGUAGUCUAAGCAGACAAUGAUGAAUGUCAUAGAUUAGAUUUAAUUUAUUCUAUAAAUGAAAGUGUAAGCAUUCCACCUCAAGAGUAAUUUGGCAACAUUGGAACUGAAAUCAUUAGACCGUUUCUGAAACCAGUAGUGAAGUAUGUUGUUUAAUUAGAUGGUACGCAAAAAACCUUACCACAAUUUGAAUUAG
rnacentral:rRNA from 1 species